rnacentral:sRNA from 1 species
GGUUAGGCCAGGAGGACCAUGUGAAUGGGGCCAGAGGGCUCCCGGGCUGGGCAGGGACCAUGGGCUGUGGCUGCAGCUCACACCCGGAAGAUGACUGGAUGGAAAACAUCGAUGUGUGUGAGAACUGCCAUUAUCCCAUAGUCCCACUGGACGGCAAGGGAACGCUGCUCAUCCGAAAUGGCUCUGAGGUGCGGGACCCACUGGUUACCUACGAAGGCUCCAAUCCGCCGGCUUCCCCACUGCAAGACAACCUGGUUAUCGCUCUGCACAGCUAUGAGCCCUCUCACGACGGAGAUCUGGGCUUUGAGAAGGGGGAACAGCUCCGCAUCCUGGAGCAGAGCGGCGAGUGGUGGAAGGCGCAGUCCCUGACCACGGGCCAGGAAGGCUUCAUCCCCUUCAAUUUUGUGGCCAAAGCGAACAGCCUGGAGCCCGAACCCUGGUUCUUCAAGAACCUGAGCCGCAAGGACGCGGAGCGGCAGCUCCUGGCGCCCGGGAACACUCACGGCUCCUUCCUCAUCCGGGAGAGCGAGAGCACCGCGGGAUCGUUUUCACUGUCGGUCCGGGACUUCGACCAGAACCAGGGAGAGGUGGUGAAACAUUACAAGAUCCGUAAUCUGGACAACGGUGGCUUCUACAUCUCCCCUCGAAUCACUUUUCCCGGCCUGCAUGAACUGGUCCGCCAUUACACCAAUGCUUCAGAUGGGCUGUGCACACGGUUGAGCCGCCCCUGCCAGACCCAGAAGCCCCAGAAGCCGUGGUGGGAGGACGAGUGGGAGGUUCCCAGGGAGACGCUGAAGCUGGUGGAGCGGCUGGGGGCUGGACAGUUCGGGGAGGUGUGGAUGGGGUACUACAACGGGCACACGAAGGUGGCGGUGAAGAGCCUGAAGCAGGGCAGCAUGUCCCCGGACGCCUUCCUGGCCGAGGCCAACCUCAUGAAGCAGCUGCAACACCAGCGGCUGGUUCGGCUCUAUGCUGUGGUCACCCAGGAGCCCAUCUACAUCAUCACUGAAUACAUGGAGAAUGGGAGUCUAGUGGAUUUUCUCAAGACCCCUUCAGGCAUCAAGUUGACCAUCAACAAACUCCUGGACAUGGCAGCCCAAGUAAGGAGACUGGGGAGGGGGGCUGGGCAAGGGAACAGGCCAGUGACGUGAAGACAUCUGGCUCAGGACCGCUGAUCUGUGUUUGGCCUGCAGAUUGCAGAAGGCAUGGCAUUCAUUGAAGAGCGGAAUUAUAUUCAUCGUGACCUUCGGGCUGCCAACAUUCUGGUGUCUGACACCCUGAGCUGCAAGAUUGCAGACUUUGGCCUAGCACGCCUCAUUGAGGACAACGAGUACACAGCCAGGGAGGGGGCCAAGUUUCCCAUUAAGUGGACAGCGCCAGAAGCCAUUAACUACGGGACAUUCACCAUCAAGUCAGAUGUGUGGUCUUUUGGGAUCCUGCUGACGGAAAUUGUCACCCACGGCCGCAUCCCUUACCCAGGGAUGACCAACCCGGAGGUGAUUCAGAACCUGGAGCGAGGCUACCGCAUGGUGCGCCCUGACAACUGUCCAGAGGAGCUGUACCAACUCAUGAGGCUGUGCUGGAAGGAGCGCCCAGAGGACCGGCCCACCUUUGACUACCUGCGCAGUGUGCUGGAGGACUUCUUCACGGCCACAGAGGGCCAGUACCAGCCUCAGCCUUGAGAGGCCUUGAGAGGCCCUGGGGUUCUCCCCCUUUCUCUCCAGCCUGACUUGGGGAGAUGGAGUUCUUGUGCCAUAGUCACAUGGCCUAUGCACAUAUGGACUCUGCACAUGAAUCCCACCCACAUGUGACACAUAUGCACCUUGUGUCUGUACAUGUGUCCUGUAGUUGCGUGGACUCUGCACAUGUGUCUUGUACACGUGUAGCCUGUGCAUGUAUGUCUUGGACACUGUACAAGGUACCCCUUUCUGGCUCUCCCAUUUCCUGAGACCACAGAGAGAGGGGAGAAGCCUGGGAUUGACAGAAGCUUCUGCCCACCUACUUUUCUUUCCUCAGAUCAUCCAGAAGUUCCUCAAGGGCCAGGACUUUAUCUAAUACCUCUGUGUGCUCCUCCUUGGUGCCUGGCCUGGCACACAUCAGGAGCUCAAUAAAUGUCUGUUGAUGACUG